rnacentral:lncRNA from 1 species
UAAUUUUCAAAUCUCUAUAUUUCUUUCAUUAGAUUUCUCUUAUUUUUGUUCGAACUCCUCUUUCUUUCUCCUUCUCUCUCUCUCGUCGGAUUUCUUCACCACCAUAUCUUUAUUUAUUUUUUUCCUUAUCUAUAUUUCUCGCAUUUUUCGGGCAUCACCACCGAGUCUUACUACUCUGACCCACCAUCAUAACUAAAUCUCACUACUAUCACAAUCACCACCACCAACAAUACUGAAUCUCGCUAAUUCCGACUCACCACCUUCAUCAAUAUUUACCGCCGCUACCACCACCAAGCUUAAACCACCAUCAUCAACACCAACACUACUUACCGUCUCUUAUCCUCUUUUCCCAACUUCUCUUAUUACUCCACCUUCUUUAUCUCCUUCGACAUUGGACCAAGCCUCUCCCACAAUAACUCUAAUAUAUGUCUAUCGCCGUUCAUCAUUACUAAUUUGUCUCAAUUGCCAUAUAUUCAAUGAUAUGAUAUAACAUCGUUAAGAAAUUAAUUU